GUCGAGAAUCUUUCACAAUGGGGGCAACCCUGAUGGAGCGACGCCGCGUGGAGGAUAAGGUCUUCGGAUUGUAAACUCCUGUCAUGCGUGAACAAGGUUGCUUGGUUAAUACCUGGGCAAAUUGAUGGUAACGCAAGAGGAAGAGACGGCUAACUCUGUGCCAGCAGCCGCGGUAAUACAGAGGUCUCAAGCGUUGUUCGGAAUCACUGGGCGUAAAGGGUGCGUAGGUGGCGUGGUAAGUCAGAUGUGAAAGCCCGGGGCUCAACCUCGGAACUGCAUCCGAGACUGCCAUGCUAGAGUACUGGAGAGGUGACUAGAAUUCUCGGUGUAGCAGUGAAAUGCGUAGAUAUCGAGAGGAAUACCAAAGGCGUAGGCAGGUCACUGGACAGUUACUGACACUGAGGCACGAAGGCCAGGGGAGCGAACGGGAUUAGAUACCCGAGUAGUCC
rnacentral:rRNA from 1 species